rnacentral:rRNA from 1 species
CUCGUAGGUGGCCAACUAAGUCAGAUGUGAAAUCCCUCGGCUUAACCGGGGAACUGCGUCUGAUACUGGAUGGCUUGAGUUUGGGAGAGGGACGCGGAAUUCCAGGUGUAGCGGUGAAAUGCGUAGAUAUCUGGAGGAACACCGGUGGCGAAGGCGGCGUCCUGGACCAACACUGACACUGAGGAGCGAAAGCCAGGGAGCAAACA